rnacentral:tRNA from 1 species
GGUCUUAUGGUCUAGAGGUAUGAUUCUCGCUUAGGGUGCGAGAGGCCCCGCAUUCGAAUCGCGGUAAGACCC